rnacentral:rRNA from 1 species
UACGGGGGGAGCAAGCGUUGUUCGGAUUUACUGGGCGUAAAGGGCGCGUAGGCGGCGCAACAAGUCACUUGUGAAAUCUCCGGGCUUAACUCGGAGCGGCCAAGUGAUACUGUCGUGCUAGAGUGCGGAAGGGGCUACUGGAAUUCUCGGUGUAGCGGUGAAAUGCGUAGAUAUCGGGAGGAACACCUGUGGCGAAAGCGGCUCACUGGACAGCAACUGACGCUGAUGCGCGAAAGCUAGGGGAGCAAACAGG